GACCCCUUAGCUCAGUGGUAGAGUGUGUGAUUCCAGUUUGGAACCUCCACAAAGUCGUCCGUUCAAUCCGGGCAGGGGUCA